rnacentral:tRNA from 1 species
GGGGAUAUAGCUCAGCUGGGAGAGCACUUGAAUGGCAUUCAAGGGGUCAAGGGUUCGAGUCCCUCUAUCUCCA